CCCAGGUUCCACUUUUCUCCCCGGUGGCGCCCACGCAGGUUACACUCCACUCCCAGGUGACACCUACGCAGGCGGCAUCUGAGGAACCUCCAGGACGGUGACAGCGACAAGCCCCGAAAAU